AAGCUCGUAGUUGAAUUUCGGGAUCAGACUGUCGGUCGUGCCUCGGUACGCACUGGCAUUAUUGGUUCCUACCUUCUGAAGAACCGCGAUGUCAUUAAUUUGGUGUCGCGGGGAAUCAGGACUGUUACUUUGAAAAAAUUAGAGUGUUUAAGGCAGGCUUACGCUUGAAUACAUUAGCAUGGAAUAAUGAAAUAGGACGUUUGAUUCUAUUUUGUUGGUUUCUAGGAUCGACGUAAUGAUUAAUAGGGAUAGUUGGG
rnacentral:rRNA from 1 species